UACGAGGGGGGCGAGCGCUGUUCGGAAUUAUUGGGCGUAAAGGGUGCGUAGGCGGUUUGGUAAGUCUGAUGUGAAAUCUAUGGGCUCAACUCAUAGUCUGCAUCGGAAACUGCCGGGCUUGAGUGUGGGAGAGGUGAGUGGAAUUCCUGGUGUAGCGGUGAAAUGCGUAGAUAUCAGGAGGAACACCUGUGGCGAAAGCGGCUCACUGGACCAUAACUGACGCUGAUGCACGAAAGCUAGGGGAGCAAACAGG
rnacentral:rRNA from 1 species